UCUAGUCUGUUCUUAAUUUGUUCUUGAACAAAUUCUCUUUGAUUUGAAGAGAGACCUUAAUUGGUAUCAAAUCACAUGUUUCUAGAUCAACAUUGAUAUCUCUUGGCAAGGGACCUAUCAGUGGUAUCAGAGCAUGUUUUGUUUUUGAUCCGGACCACUUUGUGGUAUCAAAAACUUUAUAUUUUUCAUCUUCCUUGUUAUCGGUAUUCUUCAUGAAUCAACGGUUAUCAAGAAUCCUCGACGAACGGCCAUUCUCAGAAUCAACGAUUAUCGAGAUCUAUCCAGCGAUUUUUUUCUUUUUACCAUUUUCUUCUUUUCGGGUUUGUUGAUCAAGUUCAACAUCCUUUCAUUUGUUAUGGAUUAAAAUCUGUAAUUCUUCCAUUGUUUUUCAGUUUUCAAAAAAAAAAAGAUUUCAUCUUUCUUGUCAUUUAAAAGAAAAAGAAAAAAAAACAGUUUUAUUCUAAUAAGGAAACAAGCUUGGUCUGGGUCUUUGAAGUUGUAAUGCGUUGAAAGACAUCUACUGGCAAGAAAAAUCAACAUGGAAGAAAGAGAAGCAACUCAAGUCAAGCUUUCCUCAGUUCAUCACAAACCUUGAGGACAAGGUUCUUUGACGGCCGGAGUAUUGAUGAGAUAGUAAUCGCGUUAACGUUGGUCAACGAACCGGACCUGGUUUUCAGUGUUUCAUUGUUCUUUUAAUUAUUUAUUUUAAUGAGUUUAGUUGUUAAUAAUGGAGACUGAUUCUUCCUCAUGUUUAGGAACUUAAUCAUCCCACGUUUCCUAUUUCAUCGUUUUAUAGGGAUCAUGAUCCCACAAUUGCUUCUUGUAACUUUUAUCUAUUUAAAUCAAUGCAAAUAACAAAAAGAGGUAGUCAUAACUACCCAAAAGAAAAGCGUGUUCUAGUGUGUUCUUAAUUUGUUCUUGAAUAAAUUCUCUUUGAUUUGAAAAGAGACCUUAAUUGGUAUCAAAUCACAUGUUUCUAGAUCAGCAAUAGAUUAUCCUAUAACUGGGACCUAUCAAAAGGUUAUUAGAUACGAUAUGAAGAAGAAAGAGGCCACAGUUGUAAUGGACAAACUUUUUCUUUUUUUGGUGAUAGUAAUGGACAAACUUCAUUUACCCAAUGGUUUAGAUCGUUUGUACUCACAUGUGAAAGUGUUACAAAUACUAUCCAUAGAAUAUGGGUCAAGGAUCCAAUAGCCGGGCCAACGAGGUUUUCACAAAGAUCCCGGGUCCUAUGGACAAUAUCCGGCGCACGCCUAUGGGAGAUUUAAGGGUCGCAUUGCAUUCCAAAGACAGUUUGUUCACUCGUAGUUCGUAUUCUGAUUCCGGUUCGAACCGGGAAGCGGACGUCCGAUGAAGUUUCCGUGCAACGUAGCUCUCAGUGAGUCGGCCACUGAGUUAAAUGUAAAAACAAACCAAAUUGAUGAGAUAGUAAUCGCGUUAACGUUGGUCAACGAACCGGACCUGGUUUGCAGUGUUUCAUUGUUCUUUUAAUUAUUUAUUUUAAUGAGUUUAGUUGUUAAUAAUGGAGACUGAUUCUUCCUAAUGUUUAGGAACUUAAUCAUCCCACGUUUCCCAUUUCAUCGUUGUAUAGGGAUCAUGAUCCCACAAUUGCUUCUUGUAACUUUUAUCUAUUUAAAUCAAUGCAAACAACAAAAAGAGGUAGUCAUAACUACCCAAAAGAAAAGCGUGUUCUAGUGUGUUCUUAAUUUGUUCUUGAACAAAUUCUCUUUGAUUUGAAGAGAGACCUUAAUUGGUAUCAAAUCACAUGUUUCUAGAUCAACGUUGAUAUCUCUUGGCAAGGGACCUAUCAGUGGUAUCAGAGCAUGUUUUGUUUUUGAUCCGGACCACUUUGUGGUAUCAAAAACUUUAUAUUUUUCAUCUUCCUUGUUAUCGGUAUUCUUCAUGAAUCAACGGUUAUCAAGAAUCCUCGACGAACGAUCAUUCUCAGAAUCAACGAUCAUUGAGAUCUAUCCAGCGAUUUUUUCUUUUUACCAUUUUCUUCUUUUCGGGUUUGUUGAUCAAGUUCAACAUCCUUUCAUUUGUUAUGGAUUAAAAUCUGUAAUUCUUCCAUUGUUUUUCAGUUUUCAAAAAAAAAAAAUUUCAUCUUACUUGUCAUUUAAAAGAAAAGCAAAAAAAAACAGUUUUAUUCUAAUAAGGAAACAAGCUUGGUCUGGGUCUUUGAAGUUGUAAUGCGUUGAAAGACAUCUACUGGCAAGAAGAAUCAACAUGGAAGAAAGAGAAGCAACUCAAGUCAAGCUUUCCUCAGUUCAUCACGAACCUUGAGGACAAGGUUCUUUGACGUCCGGAGUAUUGAUGAGAUAGUAAUCGCGUUAACGUUGGUCAACGAACCGGACCUGGUUUGCAGUGUUUCAUUGUUCUUUUAAUUAUUUAUUUUAAUGAGUUUAGUUGUUAAUAAUGGAGACUGAUUCUUCCUAAUGUUUAGGAACUUAAUCAUCCCACGUUUCCCAUUUCAUCGUUGUAUAGGGAUCAUGAUCCCACAAUUGCUUCUUGUAACUUUUAUCUAUUUAAAUCAAUGCAAACAACAAAAAGAGGUAGUCAUAACUACACAAAAGAAAAGCGUGUUCUAGUCUGUUCUUAAUUUGUUCUUGAACAAAUUCUCUUUGAUUUGAAGAGAGACCUUAAUUGGUAUCAAAUCACAUGUUUCUUGAUCAGCAAUAGAUUAUCCUAUAACUGGGACCUAUCAAUUGGUAUCAAUUGGAAAAGAAAAAAAAACAGUUUUAUUCUAAUAAGGAAACAAGCUUGGUAUGGGUCUUUGAAGUUGUAAUGCGUUGAAAGACAUCUACUGGCAAGAAAAAUCAACAUGGAAGAAAGAGAAGCAACUCAAGUCAAGCUUUCCUCAGUUCAUCACAAACCUUGAGGACAAGGUUCUUUGACGGCCGGAGUAUUGAUGAGAUAGUAAUCGCGUUAACGUUGGUCAACGAACCGGACCUGGUUUGCAGUGUUUCAUUGUUCUUUUAAUUAUUUAUUUUAAUGAGUUUAGUUGUUAAUAAUGGAGACUGAUUCUUCCUAAUGUUUAGGAACUUAAUCAUCCCA
rnacentral:lncRNA from 1 species